rnacentral:rRNA from 1 species
AACAAACGCUGGCGGCGUGCCUAAUACAUGCAAGUCGAACGAGGAAAGCUUUCGGGUGAGUACUAGUGGCGCACGGGUGAGGAAUAUAUGGAUAAUCUGCCCUCGAGUUGGGGAUAACCAGUCGAAAGACUGGCUAAUACCGAAUAAGACCACAGGAUCUGCGGAUCUAGGGGUUAAAGGUUUUUCGCUUGAGGAUGAGCCCAUACGGGAUUAGCUAGUUGGCGAGGUAAUGGCUCACCAAGGCUACGAUCCCUAACUGGUCUUAGAGGAUGAUCAGUCACACUGGAACUGAGACACGGUCCAGACUCCUACGGGAGGCAGCAGUAGGGAAUAUUACACAAUGGGGGAAACCCUGAUGCAGCGACGCCGCGUGAGUGAUGAAGGCCUUCGGGUCGUAAAGCUCUGUCGUAUGGGACUAACACAAUGAAGGUACCAUGCAAGAAAGGAUCGGCUAACUUCGUGCCAGCAGCCGCCGUAA